AAUGUCUUGCCUUCAGAAGUUGUGGGUGCUCCAUCACUGGAGGCUUUAAGAAGAGACUGCAUAGCCACUUCUCUGGAAUUGUAUAGUUUUCUGCUUGAGUAGGGGAUUGGUCUACAAGACUUCCAAGGUCCCUUCCAACUCUGUUAUUCUGUUACUCUAUGAUUGUAAUAGCUGCUUCUGUUGAAACAACAUGUGACAACAGGGCUUAUUCUUCAGGGGAUCAGACAUUUUUUAUGUCUUUCCUUAAAAUUAUUUGCUAGUGCUUCUUAGAACAGGACAAUAUGUAGCCAUAUCCCUUCAUGUAUUUACAGAAGUAGGCUCACAAAGAGCCACUGUGAGGCAGCCUUGCUUGUUUGCCAUUCUUGAAAUAAAACCACCAGUUCUACUUUCCUGUCACAUUAUAAUGAUAGAUCUGAUGUCUUAGAAAUAUAAUUGACAAUCUCCCAAGUUCCAAUUUUUUGGGAUUAUGCUUUUAAUUGAUCAUUUUAUCUAAACCUUAAAAAGCCCCUUCUUCAGUAUUUAUGCUUAUUUUUUUCAGGAAGCAGCCAAACAAGCCAACAACCCGAGCCACAUCUAAAAGUCAGAAUCCAUCCCCAGCUCUUCCUUCAAAUCGUCAGAAAUUAGUAGAGAAAAAGCAAUCAUCUGCCACUGCAAAAGUGAACAAAAGUCCUCGCUUGGCCCUCUCAAAAUUUCAGCCCACCAAACGCAGAAGGGAAGCGAGUCCUCCAGUGUCCCGAAAGAAGGAUCACCAGAGGGCCGUUGAGACUGACAUGAAAAAGUCGAAGCGAUAGUUGGAACCCAUGUCAGUGGGGAUUCAGGGUGGGAGGGAACUAUCUCUGUUCUAUAAAGCUUGAGGAGGGGAACUGCAUGUGUGUAUUUCCAAGAUGUAACUUAUAAUACACAUGUAAUAUUUUAAACAGUUUUAUAAACUAUUUGUUUAGCAGAAGAUAGUAUGAAUUAGAGAAGGUUUCUUUGGGUCCAGGAGGAAUUCACUGUUGCUUCCAAUCCACUCUUUACUAGUCGCCUCUUAACACCUUUUGUAUAUAAAACAUUUAUUUAAAAAAGACUGUACUUUACUGUGUAUGAACAUAAUGGGAACAUUUUAUUGAACCGCAAGACCUGGUAUUAUAUCAUCUUGUUUUAACUGGAUUAUUAAAUGUUGUGCUGCCAUGCUUAGUGCUGGGUAGGACUAGGAGAAGGAAGUGGGAAGCUAAUUUGGCUCAGAACAUUCUCACGUGUUUGGGUCAAGUAGGUAGGCAUAAGGAGAGAUUUGUUACUUCUCUUGUUGUGUUUGUAACUUUCUCUAUGCUAAGAGUUAAGAAUGGCAUUUACAGUGUUGAGUUCAACGUGCCCUUUCUUUUGGAAAUGUAUUCUCACAUAAAAUUUCUCCCAGUGUCCCAGCUAGAACACAGUAAAAGAAGAAUUUUCAGCUGAAGAGCACAUCAUCUUUCUAUGGAGUUCUUAAUUGUUCUUCUCCCAGUGCUUUUAUUUCUCCAUAGAAAAAUGGAAAACAAAAAGGACUGAAAAGAUUGGCAACAUGCCUACUUUAUCCACUAGUAUUAAAGAAGUAGAAUCUGGUUAGUUGUUUUAGUAGACUUGCAUUUUACUCUCUCAAGAACAAAUCUUCAAUUUGAGUUCCAUGUAAAGCUUUUUUAUUGUUAAUCACAUUUGUCUCUUGCAAAAACAUAAGUUGCCAAAUAUUCUGAGAUUAUUUUAAAAUGUUGAUAUUCAUCUUUUAUAACUGAAACCAACAUUGAUUUUAAUUGGUUUUUGUUUUGUUUUGGUUUGGUUUGGUUUGGUUUGGGGGUCUUUUGUUGUACUGAAGAUAUUUCUGUCAAAUAUUCUAGUUUGUUUCUUAUUUGAAUGUUUAUAUAUAAAUUACAAAAUGUUUCCAAACUAGAGUCUCAGUAUUUGAAUUGUUAGAUUUUUGCAUGUAUUUGUAGUCUACACUCAAAGGUUGUCACCCCAAACAUUUCUGAAUACUAUUGAUGUUUAUGCAAACUAAGCACAAGUUGAAAUCUGUGAUGCUCUGAGCCCAGCAAUUUGAUGGCCCUUUGUUUAGGAUUAGGCUCAAGAAACAGAAGUUACAGCAUGGGUCAAUCAUGUUCAUCAGGAGGUCUGUAGGAUAUAAUCGAAAUAAAAAUGGUGGCCAUGAGAGUAUAGUCAAAACUUUGCCUGAUUUUUAUAUGCAAAGCUUCAAUCACAUUAUUGUGGCUGCCAUUUUGACCUUUUUGAUGAUAUUCUGUGGAUGCCCCUGCAUUUCAAGUAGAAGUUCUUAAUCCUUUUCUAUUUUUAAUUAUGGCAGAUUAAAACUGUUAUCAGUUUAA